AACAUACUCCCUUCGUCCAAAAAAGCUUGUCCCUCAAAUGGAUGUAUCUAGCACCAAGUUAGUGCUAGAUACGUCCAUUUGAGAAACAAGGUUGGGACAAAUUUUUUCGGACGGAGAGAGUACAUC
rfam:Triticum aestivum genome assembly, contig: Triticum_aestivum_CS42_TGACv1_scaffold_130157_2BL